UAAAAUGGUUUAUUUAAAAAGUAAGGAUUAAGUACAUUAUACAUGGUUGUGAUUAUACCAGUAGAACUGAAGCACAGUGGAAAUAACACUUUAGAACUGCAGACAGAAAUGUAGCCUCAAGGGACAUGAUAUAUUAGCCCUUGUGGAUAUGUGAUCCAUACAGAGAGAAAAAGAAACAGAAAAAAUAGUUUAUUGUUAGAUGUCUGGGCAGCUGAAGUGAUUUCUCCUUUUACUCCUAUUGUGUAUGAGAAACAAGGAAGAGAGAGCUCAUGGUAUACCUGAAAUUUUGUUUCUUGGAAAAUCAAAUCUGAUCCAAUAGCUUUUUUUUUUUUUUUAGUUCUGUUUCUACAGUGUGUUAUAUACCAAAAGACUGAUAAUUGCUAAUGAUAUGGUUUUAUGGUAUCUGCAGGCCUUGCUGGGAAAUGGGGCUCAUUUGUUAGAUGCUGUCCAGGGAAACCAGAGAGAUGUGGAAGAACAGAUAAUUUUUUUUAAACUAUCACUGGGUGGUUUCAAAGGCUGAGCACAAUCUGACUCUGUUGAGAUAGAUCAACCAUGGAGCAAGACUGCUCAUGGGCAGGAAUGCUGCAAAUUUUUCAGUUUUGUCAGAAUCAAAGUUUUUCAUGGAAAAGGACCAGGGUUUUGAGUUUUUUGAGGGGUUUUUUGUGGUUUUAUUUUUGUUUGUUUGUUUUCUGGAGUUGUCAAAUGAUUUGUUUUUAGCUUUGGCUUUGGUUGAACAAUUUGCUGCACUGCAACUUAACUGCUGAGUUUUCAGUCGCAGCCCUUGUUGCCUCACAGGAGAAAAGCUCUGGUCCCUGUUAUGUCCACAUGACUUUGUUCCCUGUCCAGACCCCAUGAGCAUCUCAUGAUCCCCACUCCAGCUCCAUUUCUUGAAGGUGCCUGCUGGAGAAGGAGCAGAUGCUCCAGCUUGGACCAAAUCAGGGCAUCACUCCUGGAGAGCUGCUGGACCCAGCCCUGCCCCGGGGGAGGAGGCAAAGAGCAACAUCCCAAAACGCUCAGCAAGACUUUCUCUGCCAAAAACACUGCACGUGCCUCUGCAGGGCUGAGCUGGGCUGGAGAAAAUCCUUGGACUUUGUCUGGAAUCAGAUGGGUGGCUUGAAGCACAUUCACUGGAGAACGACGACUAAAAGAACAAAACCCACGCGCGAGCAAACCUGACACUGUCCACUUCCAGUUCAAGGUACAUGAGAUUAGAGAAACAGCCUAUAUCUAACUCCUGGUUUGAAAGGGAAUGGUUUUAUUCUUAAUUACAGGAAACACGGAUGAGGACUUAGUUCUAACUAUUAGUUUUUUAACACAGUGGGAAACAAAUAGUUCUGGGAAAUUGCACUUGAAAAAUACAUUGACUAUAAUUAGAUGUAAAUUAAUUAGCACUUAGUAUGACACACUAAUGAGACAGAAGGUUGGAUUUUUUUUCAUUGCAAACUUCUACUUCUAUCAUAGCUAAUCAAAGUAUUUUAAUAUUACGAAGUCUCAAAAAGUAGGAAAUAAUUUAUUGUUUGAAAGCAUAAAGAUUCUUGUAAAAAAAACCUUUCAUCAAGAACUUUAAUAAUUUUAGAACCCUUUUAUGUUGUCCUAGCCGAAAAGUAGGUAAAAAAGUUUUCUUUUCUGCCUCUGUUUGAAUUUUUUUUAAAAAGCUUGUGUAACAUCUUUCUCCAUAGUGUGUUGAUACAGAAAGUAGCACAACAUUUUCUAGUUUUAAAUCAUUCCCAUCGCUCCAUUCGCUUUAGCUCUCAGAGUUCAGAGGUUUGAAAAAAGGAUCCCAGCGGAGUUUUAACCUGAAUGGAAACUCUUAAUGAGCAGGGAUGAAGGCUCCAACCCACCCCUGCCAAAAUAACGAUGAGGCUGUGCCAGGCUGAGGGCCAGGCAGAGCUUAACAGUGACUAGGGGAAGACUCUCGCUUAAAAUUGAGAAUUGUGUCUUGGUUCUUGCAAGGAGAGAGGCUUGAGUGGGUUUCUCUGGGGGGAGAGGGAUUCAACUUCCUUUUUGGGAUGUUAAGGCAGCUGCUCCAGGAUUUCCCUGGAGGACUUGGUUCCACUAGCUGAAAGCCUCAUAUCCAAACCACCACUGAGUCUGACUCUGGGGCCAUCAGAGGAUAAAUUAAGACUAAAGAGGUUUUAACAGUUUGGCUGAGAUCUCCCACUACCAGUGACCCAAACUUUCCAAAUUAUGGAUUUUUUUCUUGUGGAGUGUUCUGCUAGCAAAGAUUUUCUGGGUGAAGAUGAUGGGGCUAUUCAGAGGAAUCUACAGGAAUUAGAUGCUCCUCUCUCACUGCAUCUAAUUCAUCUGAGGGGAAUCGGGCACCUCAUUCUCAUAUGGCUUGGUCGAGUGGUCACUAAAAUCAGCAUGAGUACUAUUAAAUUAAAUUACCUUUGAGUCAGGCCAUCGAGCUUUGAGAUCCAAGCCUAAGUAUAAAAACUGAAAGCAGGAAUUUAUAAGAAAAGAAAAUAAUAUUCAGACUCUUUUAGAAACAGACAGAAGCAAAGGGUACAAAUUAGUUCCCUCCUUACGUGAUGCAUAGAGUUUGCUGUGGGCUCUCUGCACGUAAGUAGAUGCAUCAUUACAAAAUAAAUUAAAUUAGGUCAAACCACCAUUUCCAUCUAAAAGCAACUAUACCUUGCACCAUGCGGCACUUAAUUCAUAAUAAAAAGAGUUUAAUAAAUAUCUCAUAAACGGUGAUUAUUUUUUUCCUUUUUUUUUCUUUUUUUUUUUCUUUUUUUUUUUUUGUUCUGUUUUAAAAAAUACAAAGUUGUCAUCUGCUCUGCUGACACUCGGCUCCCGUUGCUGCGGGAAGGUUCGCGAGUCCGGGCGCGUUCUCGUCUGGUUGCUCAGAGAUCUCCGUUUCCCAUUCCCUCCUGGUUGCUCAGAGAUCUCCGUUUCCAUUCCCUCCUGGUUGCUCAGAGAUCUCUGUUUCCAUUCUCUCCAGGUUGCUCAGAGAUCUCCGUUUCCCAUUCUCUCCAGGUUGCUCAGAGAUCUCCGUUUCCAUUCUCUCCAGGUUGCUCAGAGAUCUCCAUUUCCAUUCUCUCCUGUUGUUCAGAGACCUCUGUUUCCAUUCUCUCCCGGUUUCUCAGAGAUCUCUGUUUCCAGUAGCGUUAGUGUUGCACUUGUGAAGCCGAAGGGAAUCGGGGAAUCGGCGGCGGCUCUGCCCUGCUCCCGCCGCGCUCGGGCAAAUCUCCAGGGGCUCCUGACAGCCAGCACUCAGCACCUUGCCGGAUCAGGCACUAGGGCUCGUCGAAAUGAGAAUUCAAGUUUUCUAAACGUUAGGCAAGAAAUGAUGCUUGCAAAUAGGCUCAAGUCCCACCUGCUUUAAUCUGUUUCCCUUUCCAGGUGUUUCAAGACGCACCCACCCUCUGCUCCUCGGCCUGUGCUGCCCCAAGGGAUGCCUUACCCCAGGAAUGGGAGACCCCCUUCCCACCCCAUCAGAGAGUCUCUAAUGCUCAGUACGUGGGUGCUCUACGGUUUCAGUGGCACAGGUCAGUUUUAGAAAGUGUUGCCUUCAAAAAUAUUUUCUUUUUUUUUUCUUUUUUUUCUUUUUUUUUUUUUAUUUUGAAAGAGGCAAAGCUUACGCCGUGUUGAAGGAAAGUGGCUCACUUGAUGAGUAGCUCAUUUUCAUCCUUGGGCUUGGUUAUAAAUUAUAUUUGCAAGUUUGUAUUAAGGGAUCUCAAUAUUAGAAAAAAAAAAAAAAGUACAACAAAUUUUCUGUAAUCCUUUAAAACACACUGGUGGCCAGUCCUUUGCAGUUUCUCCAAGACUGUGUAGACACUACAAAAGUGCAGGAACAUGAACUGC